rnacentral:rRNA from 1 species
CCGCGGUAAUACGUAGGAUGCUAGCGUUGUCCGGAAUCACUGGGCGUAAAGGGUCCGUAGGCGGUUUGUUAAGUCUCCUGUGAAAACUUCGGGCUCAACCCGGAGAGGUCGGGGGAUACUGGCAAACUUGAGACUGUCAGAGGCAGGUGGAAUUCCCGGUGUAGUGGUGAAAUGCGUAGAUAUCGGGAGGAACACCAGUGGCGAAAGCGGCCUGCUGGGGCAGUUCUGACGCUGAGGGACGAAAGCGUGGGUAGCAAACCGG